GAAAGUGUCAUUUUUUUGACAUUCUCUAGGCACAAUCCUUGAUGGCGGAAGUCACUUUAGUCACAACGGAAGUUGGGCAGGGUUGUGGGCGUGAUGAACUAGGUGUAUAACCUUGAAGGGAAUGAUACGUAGUUUAUUAAGCCUCAGUAGAUUAGAUGUUAAACGAUUGAUAUGCUUAAUAGAUUUGCAUGCGUUUAAUGCUCUGGCAAUCAAAUUAUUCUUUCUUGCUUGCAUGUGUGUCGUGGUUGAAUAACUUCUAAUGAAUAUUCUCCUUUAUCAAUUUAGUUUUAGUUUUUUUUACUUUAUGUUCAUCGCCGCCACAUUAUUUACGGCCACGUUCAACUUAAACAACUUCUAUCGUAUCUUAAAUUUUACAGAAAUUGCAUCAACAUCAGUAGUAGAUUUUCAAUACUGUUUCCUGUGGGAUCAAUAUAUUUAGCCGAGAGGCUAUCACUAUUCUUGCAUCGACAAAUGUUCACUUACACCAAUCGCGGUGACAUCUCAUCAGCAGAUCAAGUUUUGGAACCGUUAUCGGGAAACGACUUAGUUGACGUUUGUAAUUGUUGUUUUUGCUUUUUGUUUUACCCUUUUCAUUUUUUUAACUAACUUGUUUCUUGUGUUUUCAUGAAAAAAAAAUAGAAUGGUUCUAUUCUAUCAGCUUACAAUGCAGCGAUGCCUUCAUUGUUGCCACAGAAUUUAUGACCAUUAAUUCAAGCUGGAAAUAUUGAGCUUCAACCUGCCAUGUUGCAAAUGUCGAGUUCCAGUGGCAAAUUUCCUAGGAAAAUGCUCACACUUGACUUCUAGGAUUUUCGACGAGUUCAAUAACUUCAUGGGAUGAAUUGGCUACACAAUUUGUCUCGACAUUCAACCCACCCACAUUAAGUGCUACCGCAAGAGUAACACCAGGAAUUAGGGAAGUUGAUACAAUUUCUUCCCCUAGUGAGCAAGUUUCUAAGCUCACAAGUUUGAUCAGGAAUAUGCAAUGGACUGUGGACUUAGCACCCAUUUAUGAAGAUUGUUCCCAACAUGCAGAGAACAGAGCGCUUACUAGGUGAAUGGCGACACAAUUAAGGUGGUUGACUACAUAAAAUGCAGUGAAGACUUGAGUACAGAGACUCAAGAAAAAGGUGUGCUACAAGCUGAACAGGUGGACCAAACUAAGAAAGAAUCCAUGUCAGAGGUGAAUGUGAUUGCACCAGUUGCAGAAACAACAGAAUCUACGAUCACCCAUGCGGAGCCUAGUGUAGAGAUAGAGGUCAACUUUGAGAAAGCAACCAACCAACCGGUUGUUAAAAUUAUCGGUGUAAUAUAAGACCAAGACAUUGUUAGCACAGAGGAAACUAUGGGUGACCCGAAAGUUGCCAUUAAAGAACCCAAGGAAAAAGUUUCUUCUAUAGAGGUUGGAAGUUCAAUAUAUGUGACUUUAGAUGUAAACGUCUCUGAAGAUAUUUCAGAAGGGUAGAACCAUUCUGACGCAUCAAUUGUGACC